rnacentral:lncRNA from 1 species
CGCCUAUUACCUUUCUAAUCAGAAUUAUGUGAUCAGCUCAUUACUGGGGCCUUUCUAAUCAGAAUUAUGCCAUCAGCUCAUUUAAUGGGGCAUUUGUACUUGUACCCUUACUAAGUUGCUAAGCCUUUGUUCUGUAGGAGCUGGAAAAAUAAUCACAGUUCCCAAUGACUUAUAGCUGGAUUGUCCAUAUAAAGUUUUGUUCCUGCUUUUUGCUUUCCCUUUGAGUGUCUGUCUACCUUCGCUAUAUGGAUUGUUUGGUUUCCUAGUUUAUUGUUAAUUAUUUCUUUUCUUCCUGUAUUUUUCUUAUUAUUCGACAACAUAGUAGAUUUUAUGUAUACAAUGCUAAUGCUUUUAUAUAAGUGGCACUGCUUAUGCAUUGGGUGAAUUGAGAAAUAUGACCCUAGGGUGAAUAAUGGGAACUGUAACAGUUCUAGGUCAACUUGGGAGCUUGGAUCAUUUUUUUCUCCGCCUUAUAAAAUUUAUACUUUCACCUGGCAUGAUGGUACCGACAAAGGUAUCAUAUGUGAUUUUACUAGCCGCUUGUUUUGCUAGUUACCUUUUAUAUGCGAAGCAAUUCAGUUUCUUAUUCAUGAUUGCUGACAACAAAUUUGGAUGUAUUAAGCAACAAUCCUUUAUGCAGGUCAGUCUUUUGCAUAUUCCACAUAAUUUAGAUUUCAGAUAAAUUUAAUAUAAUAAACUAGCGAGGAUUUUUGUAUGCU